rnacentral:rRNA from 1 species
UACGAAGGGGGCUAGCGUUGCUCGGAAUCACUGGGCGUAAAGGGUGCGUAGGCGGGUCUUUAAGUCAGGGGUGAAAUCCUGGAGCUCAACUCCAGAACUGCCUUUGAUACUAAAGAUCUUGAGUUCGGGAGAGGUGAGUGGAACUGCGAGUGUAGAGGUGAAAUUCGUAGAUAUUCGCAAGAACACCAGUGGCGAAGGCGGCUCACUGGCCCGAUACUGGCGCUGAUGCACGAAAGCGUGGGGAGCAAACAGG